GAGUAACACGUAGGUAACCUGCCCAUGUGCCCGGGAUAACUUCUGGAAACGGAUGCUAAAACCGGAUAGGUAGCAGACAAGCAUUUGACUGCUAUUAAAGUGGCUUUGGCCAUGAACAUGGAUGGACCUGCGGUGCAUUAGCUGGUUGGUGAGGUAACGGCCCACCAAGGCGACGAUGCAUAGCCGGCCUGAGAGGGCGGACGGCCACAUUGGGACUGAGACACGGCCCAAACUCCUACGGGAGGCAGCAGUAGGGAAUUUUCGUCAAUGGGGGGAACCCUGAACGAGCAAUGCCGCGUGAGUGAGGAAGGUCUUCGGAUCGUAAAGCUCUGUUGUAAGAGAAAAACGGCACUCAUAGGGAAUGAUGAGUGAGUGAUGGUAUCUUACCAGAAAGUCACGGCUAACUACGUGCCAGCAGCCGCGGUAAUACGUAGGUGGCGAGCGUUAUCCGGAAUGAUUGGGCGUAAAGGGUGCGUAGGUGGCAGAUCAAGUCUGGAGUAAAAGGUAUGGGCUCAACCCGUACUGGCUCUGGAAACUGAUCAGCUAGAGAACAGAAGAGGACGGCGGAACUCCAUGUGUAGCGGUAAAAUGCGUAGAUAUAUGGAAGAACACCGGUGGCGAAGGCGGCCGUCUGGUCUGGAUUCUGACACUGAAGCACGAAAGCGUGGGGAGCAAAUAGGAUUAGAUACCCUAGUAGUCCACGCCGUAAACGAUGAGAACUAGGUGUUGGGGGAAUAACUCAGUGCCGCAGUUAACGCAGUAAGUUCUCCGCCUGGGGAGUAUGCACGCA
rnacentral:rRNA from 1 species